UUUCUAUGGAGUUAUACUUUAUAGUAAAUACGGCUAUAAUGAAGUUAUGUUUAGUUUUCAGAGAUUAGUUUCUCUGAAUUAAUCGAAAUUGAACAAGUAGUUAAAUUUUGAUUAAAAAUUGUUCUUUGAAAACUGGAUAAUAGACAUCUAGUUAUUUCAUUUUUAAUGAAAUAGCAAAAUAAUUCAAAUUUUCUGUUAUUAAAGUAAUUUUUAAAUUAAUAACUAAAAUUUCACAGUUAUAUUUUGUAAAUGAUUCUCAAAAAAAUUAUAAAAACCUUGAUUAAUUUAAUUAA
rnacentral:misc_RNA from 1 species